UUGCAGGUCGCCGUCGCCUAUGCCGCAUUUGGUAAAUCGGAUGUGGUUGAUCUUAAUUCGGAUUCUGCCGUAGCAUAUGGUGACCAUCCGCUUAGCGAAGAUCAAAUCUCAGUGAGUUUGAUUCCCAAGAAAGAUUCCGUCGUCAAUGACCAAGGCAAUGACGGGAACUCAGUCUCCAACGUUCAGGGAAUCGAAGAUGAUCUCUCAGCAAGCUACAUUCC